AGUGAACGCUGGCGGUAGGCCUAACACAUGCCAGUCGAACGGCAGCACAGUAAGAGCCUGCUCUUACGGGUGGCGAGUGGCGGACGGGUGAGGAAUACACCGGAAUCUACUUUUUCGUGGGGGAUAACGUAGGGAAACUUACGCUAAUACCGCAUACGACCUACGGGUGAAAGCAGGGGAUCUUCGGACCUUGCGCGAUUGAAUGAGCCGAUGUCGGAUUAGCUAGUUGGCGGGGUAAAGGCCAACCAAGGCGACGAUCCGUAGCUGGUCUGAGAGGAUGAUCAGCCACACUGGAACUGAGACACGGUCCAGACUCCUACGGGAGGCAGCAGUGGGGAAUAUUGGACAAUGGGCGCAAGCCUGAUCCAGCAAUACCGCGUGGGUGAAGAAGGCCUUCGGGUUGUAAAGCCCUUUUGUUGGGAAAGAAAAGCAGCAGGUUAAUACCCCGCUGUUCUGACGGUACCCAAAGAAUAAGCACCGGCUAACUUCGUG
rnacentral:rRNA from 1 species